rnacentral:lncRNA from 1 species
GGAUUUGCAGAGUGAUGGAGUCGGCCGAGCCCCUUCCCAUGGCUACUCCAAAACCAACCAGGGACUCUCUCAGCCCUGCUGAGAAACAGGAGGAGAUGAAUAUGCCGGAAAAAUGAGAGAGAGGGAGUGAAAGGCAAACGAGAGAGACCUCACUGUGAAUGUCAUCAAAAAAAUGUUUUUGUAGGUUGCGUCCCCAUUGGGAAGGAGCACGUUGACUGCAUGGCUGUUCCACAGGCACAAUGGGAUCAGCCACAGCCUGCGCCACCGCGCAUGAGCAGCGCCAAAGCCCGCACUCACAAGGCAUGCAACCUGACUGAGGAGCAGAAAAGGCAGCACAAGACGAUAAAGGAGAGGCAGCAAGUUGCCAGUGAUGAAGGGAACACGUUGCAGGGAGUGCAUGAAGGGAAGAGAGAGAGAAUUAGCCAGGGUGGAACAGAGGGAGAAAAAAAGACCCUGACGAAGAAUGGGGAAGAAAGGGCUCAAAACUACAGCAUUCAGACGUAGGUAAUACAUCGCAGACUCCCCAACCACAGACACAGCAACCACCCGCACCCAAACAUGCAUCAGCUGGCUCAAACACCGCCUAAAACCCACCGACAAAUUCAGUAAAAAGCGCCACACACACACACACACAGCAUCCCAACCACAAAAAGCCGCAUGCAGCACAAAUCCCACGGGUGCCGUGUCACUUACUCGAAGACAAGCAUUAGCAUUUUUCCUCCCACUGUCCAGAACACUCACGUGCUGCUCCAUGUGACUGCACAGGCAGCAGCAGACGUCAAAUUUACCUUCACCUCAAGUGACGCCCCGCUGUGGCGUACAAGCACACACACACACAGACACACACCGAGCAAGAAGCCCAGCAAGAGACUCGACACCACAGGUGGCCUCUGGGCAAGCUUAAUUGCUCUUUCCCAGACUCACUCCUCCGUGGUUUCACCUCACGUUGUGGUGUGUCAGACGUGUGUCUGGGGCACAGAGACCUGUCAGUCUCUCAGUGGGGGGAUGGGAUAGGAGCACCAACCCAGACAGCCAAACAUUUGAGGGGCACGGAGCCCUGUCAGCCCAGCACUGGAUGACUGGCUAUCAGGAACGGUGUGUGGAGAUCUGAUGAGCUGAAAAGGAAGGAGGAACGGCACAUCAGGGCAAACCUUACAAUGAGAAAAUCUGAAGAUGAAAUUUUGUAAUGGGUCUGGGUGCGUGUGAACUUCUGUGUGACUUAAUAUAAGAUUAUUUUGGGCUAAAUAGUGCAUAUUUCGACUAUGACUAUUCAUGCAUGAAUUAGUUUUAAAACCCAUGUGUGUGAAGGUGAC